rnacentral:rRNA from 1 species
GUUAAGCAGUUGCUGGGUGGCAGGGUAAGGCGUGGGGGGCGGACGUUGGUGGGAAUGGCUGGGUGUAAAGGGUCAGUAGGCGGGGUGGCAAGUAGGGAGUGAAAUGUCUGUGCUCAACGCAGAGGCUGCUUCCGAAACGGGUGGGCUUGAGUGUGGUAGAGGCGCGUGGAAGUGCAGGUGUAGCGGGGAAAUGCGUAGAUAUCUGCAGGAACACCCGUGGCGAAAGCGGCGCGCUGGACCACAACUGACGCUGAAUGACGAAAGCUAGGGGAGCAAACAGGAUUAGAUACCCCUUUAGUC